AUGUCGGUUAAGUCCCGCAACGAGCGCAACCCUUAUCCCUAGUUGCCAUCAGGUAAAGCUGGGAACUCUGGGGAGACUGCCGGUGAUAAACCGGAGGAGGGUGGGGACGACGUCAAAUCAUCAUGCCCUUUAUGUCCUGGGCUACACACGUACUACAAUGGCCGUUACAACGGGAAGCGAAGGAGCAAUCCGGAGCAAAUCCCUUAAAGGCGGUCCCAGUUCAGAUUGUGGGCUGAAACUCGCCCACAUGAAGGCGGAAUUGCUAGUAAUUGUAGAUCAGCAUGCUGCAGUGAAUACGUUCCCGGGCCUU
rnacentral:rRNA from 1 species